rnacentral:rRNA from 1 species
AGAGUUCGAUCCUGGCUCAGGACGAACGCUGGCGGCGUGCCUAACACAUGCAAGUCGAGCGGAGACAGUGAGUAGCUUGCUACGAACUGUUCUAGCGGCGGACGGGUGAGUAACGCGUGAGCAACCUUUCCCAGACAGGGGAAUAACACUCCGAAAGGUGUACUAAUACCGCAUAAGACCACGGGAUCACAUGGUUCUGAGGUAGAAGAAUUAUCGGUUUGGGGUGGGCUCGCGUCCGAUUAGGUAGUUGGUGAGGUAACGGCCCACCAAGCCGACGAUCGGUAGCCGACCUGAGAGGGUGAUCGGCCACAUUGGGACUGAGACACGGCCCAAACUCCUACGGGAGGCAGCAGUGGGAAUAUUGGGCAAUGGAGGAAACUCUGACCCAGCAACGCCGCGUGGAGGAAGAAGGUUUUCGGAUCGUAAACUCCUGUCCUUGGAGACGAGUAGAAGACGGUAUCCAAGGAGGAAGCCCCGGCUAACUACGUGCCAGCAGCCGCCGUAAUACGUAGGGGGCAAGCGUUGUCCGGAAUAAUUGGGCGUAAAGGGCGCGUAGGCGGCUCGGUAAGUCUGGAGUGAAAGUCCUGCUUUUAAGGUGGGAAUUGCUUUGGAUACUGUCGGGCUUGAGUGCAGGAGAGGUUAGUGGAAUUCCCAGUGUAGCGGUGAAAUGCGUAGAGAUUGGGAGGAACACCAGUGGCGAAGGCGACUAACUGGACUGUAACUGACGCUGAGGCGCGAAAGUGUGGGGAGCAAACAGGAUUAGAUACCCUGGUAGUCCACACUGUAAACGAUGAAUGCUAGGUGUAGGGGGUAUCGACCCCUUCUGUGCCGCAGUCAACACAAUAAGCAUUCCGCCUGGGGAGUACGGCCGCAAGGUUGAAACUCAAAGGAAUUGACGGGGGCCCGCACAAGCAGCGGAGCAUGAGGUUUAAUUCGACGCAACGCGAAGAACCUUACCAGGUCUUGACAUCCACUUAAACUUACAGAGAUGUAAGGUGUGCUUGCACAAAGUGAGACUGGUGGUGCAUGGUUGUCGUCAGCUCGUGUCGUGAGAUGUUGGGUUAAGUCCCGCAACGAGCGCAACCCUUAUCUUCAGUUACUAACGCGUAAAGGUGAGGACUCUGAAGAGACUGCCGGGGACAACUCGGAGGAAGGUGGGGACGACGUCAAAUCAUCAUGCCCCUUAUGACCUGGGCUACACACGUGCUACAAUGGCCACGACAGAGAGAAGCGAAAUCGCAAGGUAGAGCGGAACUCAAAAAAGUGGUCCCAGUUCGGAUUGUGGGCUGCAACCCGCCCACAUGAAGUCGGAGUUGCUAGUAAUCGCGAAUCAGCAUGCCGCGGUGAAUACGUUCCCGGGCCUUGUACACACCGCCCGUCACACCAUGGGAGUUGGGAGUGCCCAAAGCCGGUGAGGCAACCGCAAGGAGCCAGCCGUCUAAGGCAAGACCAAUGACUGGGGUGAAGUCGUAACAAGGUA